GCCUGGAUGGCGGAACUGGUAGACGCAAGGGACUUAAAAUCCCUCGGCAUAUAAUGCUGUCCGAGUUCGAGUCUCGGUCCAGGCACCA
rnacentral:tRNA from 1 species